UUUUCCCGAAUUAGAAAGAGCUAUAAUUUUAUGGAUUUGAUUGUGGCAAAAAUCUUUAACAUAUAAUUAUUGGAAUGAAACGUUAGUCGUUUUCUAAGAUAUCUGGUUUCUUAAGAAAUAAAUUUAAUUUAGGACAUGGUUUUACUAAGCUGAUUUGGUAACUUAGUGGCGCUAUGUUCUAGUAUUUUAAGGGAUAAGCUUUAAAAUAGAAGGUUAAAAUUAAUGUUGUAUGAGGUUAGGUUUGUAGGGUUGGAAAUUUUUAUCAAUAGUUUGUUAUAAUUAACCUAAGCUUCAGUAAGAUUUAUAUAUAUUGGUUUAGAUUUUUUAUUAAGAUUUUACAUAUAAUAUAAUAAUGUAAGUAAUAAUGAUAGAAUUAGUAUAUAUGUAUAAUGUAUUUUGUUUUUUAUGGUCAAGGUUAGGUUAAGGAACUCGGCAAAUGUACUUUCCGCCUGUUUAUUAAAAACAUGUCUUUUUGAUCAUAAUUUAAAGUCUGACCUGCCCAAUGAGGUAUUGAAUGGCCGCGGUAAUUUGACCGUGCAAAGGUAGCAUAAUCAUUAGUUUUUUAAUUGAAAGCUGGUAUGAACGGUUGGACGAGAGAGUAACUGUCUCAAUCUAAUUGAUAAUAGAAUUUUAUCUAUAAGUUAAAAAGCUUAUAUAAUUUUAAAAGACGAGAAGACCCUAUAGAAUUUUAUAAUUUUGUUUAUUAAUUGAUAUUAGAAUUUUAAUCUUUGAAUGUAUAAUGUUAUUUUGUUGGGGCGACAGAAAAAUUUAGCUAACUUUUUUUAGUGUUGGUCAUAGAUACAUGUGUGAAUGAUCCGUUUUUGACGAUUAAAAGAUUAAAUUACCUUAGGGAUAACAGCGUAAUUUUUUUUUAGAGUUCCUAUCGAAAAAAGAGUUUGCGACCUCGAUGUUGGAUUAAAAUUAACUUUUGGUGCAGGGGCUAAAAGGUUAGGUCUGUUCGACC
rnacentral:rRNA from 1 species